GCGAAAGUGGCGGAAUUUGGUAGACGCGCUGGAUUUAGGUUCCAGUGGGGCAACCCGUGAGAGUUCGAGUCUCUCCUUUCGCACCA
rnacentral:tRNA from 2 species